rnacentral:tRNA from 1 species
GCCCAGGUAGCUCAGUGGUAGAGCACCCCCUUGGUAAGGGGGAGGCCGUGAGUUCAAGUCUCAUCCUGGGCU